rnacentral:rRNA from 1 species
UACAGAGGGUGCGAGCGUUAAUCGGAAUUACUGGGCGUAAAGCGUGCGUAGACGGUAGCGUAAGUCAGAUGUGAAAGCCCCGGGCUCAACCUGGGAAUUGCAUUUGAGACUGCUCUGCUCGGGUGCGGAAGAGGGAAGCGGAAUUUCCGGUGUAGCGGUGAAAUGCGUAGAUAUCGGAAGGAACACCAGUGGCGAAAGCGGCUUCCUGGUCCGACACCGACGUUCAGGCACGAAAGCGUGGGGAGCAAACGGG